GACGUGUGCUAUUCCGAACUCUGAAAAAUAUAACUUAGAAAGAAAUAAGGUGUCAGCAGAAGCCAGACUGCUGGUUGAAUAAAGUAACAAUAUACAGAACAGAGAGAAAUUCUAGAUUAAAAAAGUAGCAAACAGAUAGAAACUUCAGCAGAAGCCUUAGGUGUCUUUGACGUUGGGUGGAUGUUCCAGGUCGUUCUCGUGGGAAUGUGGGCUUUAUGUUAUGAUUGGAAGAAGCUCAAUGGGGAGAGAUGAGGGUGUGACAAUAGUGAAAUGAAAUGUAUACAGUUAGAAAGCAUCUCCAUCUUCGUUGUGCCUCUAGGGGACAGCAGUGGAGAGGCACCUAUUCUGCAGAAUAUUAUCUUAAUAAAAACUUAUUUGCCUGACUUUGUCUCUAAAGCGUUUGUGAUUUUGAAUCUCACAAUUUGGGGGCUCGGUUCCGAGAUUUAAUUUCUCUGGACAGCUGACGGAAAUACACGGACGAAGAGAAUGUGCACCCCGCUGAGUUCAGCGGUCUCAGACUCCUUGCUUACCGCCAGAGGGUUUGAGCGAGUGAUGCCCGGACCAAACAGAGACUCGGCAAAGAUGUGAAAAUGGUUGGAGAUUAGUUGGAGAUCGCGAAAAGUCAAUCGAGCAAUUUCUGUACACAGAACCCAGGUAGGAACAAUGACUAAUAAAGUACUUCCUGGGCGAUUGAAAAGA